UACGUGGGGGGCAAGCGUUGUUCGGAAUUACUGGGCGUAAAGGGCGCGUAGGCGGCACGGCAAGUCGGGAGUGAAAGGCCUGGGCUCAACCGAGGAACUGCUUUCGAGACUGCCGAGCUAGAGUGCGGAAGGGGCAACUGGAAUUCCCAGUGUAGCGGUGAAAUGCGUAGAUAUUGGGAAGAACACCUGAGGCGAAGGCGGGUUGCUGGGCCGACACUGACGCUGAGGCGCGAAAGCCAGGGGAGCAAACGGG
rnacentral:rRNA from 1 species